rnacentral:rRNA from 1 species
UACGUAGGGUGCAAGCGUUGUCCGGAAUUAUUGGGCGUAAAGAGCUCGUAGGCGGUUUGUCGCGUCUGCUGUGAAAUCCCAGGGCUUAACCCUGGGCCUGCAGUGGGUACGGGCAAACUAGAGUGCGGUAGGGGAGAUCGGAAUUCCUGGUGUAGCGGUGAAAUGCGUAGAGAUUGGGAAGAACACCAGCGGCGAAAGCGUUCUACUGGGUCUGCACUGACACUGAGGGACGAAAGCUAGGGGAGCGAAAGGG